ensembl:lncRNA
CUGAAACUAUUUAAAGCCAUGAGGUUAACAUAAUUUCAGAGGAAGUUUAGGGGGAGAUGACCACACCGAAAGCAAUGCCACAUCCUAACUCCCCGGUUGGGACAGUGUGUACUAACCAGGCCACAGCCGGAGAGGAACCAGAGGAACCUGCAGAAGACCAGCCUGAAGAGAUCCACUACGGUGACAGACUUCUCCAAACUACAGACCAAAGAGACCCCAGCUGCAGCCCAGGACAGGGUCCAGGGACAGGAGAGUGAGUACGCUGAAGUCAAUGUGACUGGGAGAGGGGCUCAGGAACCACCUCUUAACAACCUAGAUGGGCUUUAUGCACAAGUCAAUAAAAG